rnacentral:lncRNA from 1 species
UGGCCGUGUCUUGCCAUAAGAGUGCCAUGCUGUACGACUUUAAGGCUUUCUAGCCUUUUUUUUUUUUUUUUAAAAACAAUGUUUUCUUUUACAGUGAAAGAAAAGCACAAGAAGUAAAGAAACUUUCACAGUGGUUGUUGAUUUGACUGUUACGCGGAUCCCCCCCGAAUCGGAAAAAAGCAGGUUGAAAGUCAUGAUGCUAAUGGAACCCAAAGAAUAAAAUAUUUAACAUCAAGCUGCCGAAAUGUAGAAGCUGAUUCUGUCACAAUGUCAGAUGCCUUUGGAAAAUUCUACAUUCCUCUUAGAUGAAUCUUUAGAACUUGGUGAGUUUCACUAGAUACCUUCAGUCUUCAUUUUGAGCUCAGAGGUAUGCCACCUUUUUUUCUUCCUUUUUUGCAUAAUUAACAAGUACGGUGAGGUUUGGAAUCUCCUGGCAAGGAGCAUGGGACCAAGUAUUAUAAAAAGAUUUAGGGCAUGAUCUCCUACCUUCCUUGAUAGCUUUUGUUUAUCUUUAGAAUUUUCAUUCUUAUGAGGAGUGAAAAGAUAUUCAUUGGUAAGACAAUUGAUAUCCAGAUGUAAAGUAUU